rnacentral:rRNA from 1 species
GACGUAGGGCGCGAGCGUUGUCCGGAUUUAUUGGGCGUAAAGAGCUCGUAGGCGGCUUGUCGCGUCGUUCGUGAAAACUUGGGGCUCAACCCCAAGCUUGCGGUCGAUACGGGCAGGCUAGAGUUCGGUAGGGGAGACUGGAAUUCCUGGUGUAGCGGUGAAAUGCGCAGAUAUCAGGAGGAACACCGGUGGCGAAGGCGGUGAUCUGGGCCGACACUGACGCUGUAGAGCGAAAGCGUGGGGAGCGAACAGG